UACAGAGGGGGCAAGCGUUGUUCGGAAUUACUGGGCGUAAAGGGCGCGUAGGCGGCCUUCUAAGUCGAACGUGAAAUCCCCGGGCUCAACCCGGGAACUGCGUCCGAUACUGGAAGGCUUGAAUCCGGGAGAGGGAUGUGGAAUUCCCGGUGUAGCGGUGAAAUGCGUAGAGAUCGGGAGGAAGGCCGGUGGCGAAGGCGGCGCUCUGGAACAUUUCUGACGCUGAGGCUCGAAAGCGUGGGGAGCAAACAGG
rnacentral:rRNA from 1 species